UCUCAGCAAAUCCCAUUAUCCAUAGCCAGA
rnacentral:piRNA from 1 species